GCCCCCGUAGCUCAGCCUGGAUAGAGCAACUGCCUUCUAAGCAGUAGGUCGCAGGUUCGAAUCCUGUCGGGGGCA
rnacentral:tRNA from 1 species